rnacentral:rRNA from 1 species
GACACGUACAAACCUUAUCGAUAAACAAUUGGAGGGCAAGUCUGGUGCCAGCAGCCGCGGUAAUUCCAGCUCCAAUAGCGCAUAUUAACGUUGUUGCAGUUAAAAAGCUCGUAGUUGAAAUGAAGGGAGUUGUGUAAUGAAUACAUUCGUGUAUUUUGUUAUUCAACUACCCUCCUUCUAAAUUCGAUAUAUGAGUAUUAAUUUACUUGUAUAUGGUUUUAGACGUUUACUGUGAGAAAAUUAGAGUGUUCAAAGCAGGCAUUUGCUUGAAUAUAUUAGCAUGGAAUAAUCAUGUAUGAUUUUCAUGAUGUAUUUGAUUGGUUUGGUUCAUGAGAAUAAGAUUAAAAGGGACAGUUGGGGGUAUUCAUAUUCAAUAGUCAGAGGUGAAAUUCUCGGAUUUAUGGAAGAUGAACAAGUGCGAAAGAUUUUACCAAGGAUGUUUUCAUUAAUCAAGAACGAAAGUUAGGGGAUCGAAGAGGAUUAGAUACCCUCGUAGUCUUAA